rnacentral:rRNA from 1 species
UACGGAGGAUCCGAGCGUUAUCCGGAUUUAUUGGGUUUAAAGGGAGCGUAGGUGGAUUGUUAAGUCAGUUGUGAAAGUUUGCGGCUCAACCGUAGAAUUGCAGUUGAAACUGGCAGUCUUGAGUACAGUAGAGGUGGGCGGAAUUCGUGGUGUAGCGGUGAAAUGCUUAGAUAUCACGAAGAACUCCGAUUGCGAAGGCAGCUCACUGGACUGCAACUGACACUGAGGCUCGAAAGUGUGGGUAUCAAACAGG